AACGGGGGUAUGCCUUAGUACGGCGAGUGAAGCGGCAAAAGCUCAAAUUUGAAAUCUGGUACCUUCGGUGCCCGAGUUGUAAUUUGGAGAGGGCAACUUUGGGGCCGUUCCUUGUCUAUGUUCCUUGGAACAGGACGUCAUAGAGGGUGAGAAUCCCGUGUGGCGAGGAGUGCGGUUCUUUGUAAAGUGCCUUCGAAGAGUCGAGUUGUUUGGGAAUGCAGCUCUAAGUGGGUGGUAAAUUCCAUCUAAAGCUAAAUAUUGGCGAGAGACCGAUAGCGAACAAGUACAGUGAUGGAAAGAUGAAAAGAACUUUGAAAAGAGAGUGAAAAAGUACGUGAAAUUGUUGAAAGGGAAGGGCAUUUGAUCAGACAUGGUGUUUUGUGCCCUCUGCUCCUUGUGGGUAGGGGAAUCUCGCAUUUCACUGGGCCAGCAUCAGUUUUGGUGGCAGGAUAAAUCCAUAGGAAUGUAGCUUGCCUCGGUAAGUAUUAUAGCCUGUGGGAAUACUGCCAGCUGGGACUGAGGACUGCGACGUAAGUCAAGGAUGCUGGCAUAAUGGUUAUAUGCCGCCCGUCUUGAAACACGGACCAAAACAAAA
rnacentral:rRNA from 1 species